GUUCAUUCUUGAACAUAUACUAAAAUUGGAACAGUACAGAGAAUAUUAGCAAGGCCCCUACACAAGAAUGACGGGCAAAUUCGUGAAGCGUCCCAAAAUUUC
rnacentral:snRNA from 1 species